GGUCGCCGUCGCCAAGGUACGAGGACGACAAAGAGCUUGCGUACACCUCGCGCGGUAGAUGGAAAAACACGUACCGACAGAACAUUAUGGUCUCUCGAACCAACGUGUGCCGGACGUUACGCGAAAACGGAAAUCGCAAUGGCGUAAAAACACCAAACUACAAACGUGGAAAAAUGAAACUACGGGACGAGCGCGAGAGUAGAAGUCGACGCGCCCGACGGUCACCGGCAGAAAUGACGAGCGCCGGGCGGCGAUCGACGCCCAUUCGUAUCGCGUCCGCAGGGUAAUGUGGUCGCGUCCGCGGCGCGUGAAAGGCCGGGCGCGGGGC